GACGAACGCUGGCGGCGCGCCUAACACAUGCAAGUCGAGCGAUGAAAGUUGUUUUGAUCCUUCGGGUGACGAACUUCUGGAUUAGCGGCGAACGGGUGAGUAACGCGUGAGGAACCUGCCCCUUACAACGGGAUAGCCUCGGGAAACCGGGAUUAAUACCGUAUAAGACUCCGACAUCUCAUGAUGAUGAAGUCAAAGCGUUAGCGGUAAGAGAUGGCCUCGCGUCUGAUUAGCUGGUUGGCGGGGUAACGGCCCACCAAGGCGACGAUCAGUAACCGGCCUGAGAGGGUGAACGGUCACAUUGGAACUGAGACACGGUCCAAACUCCUACGGGAGGCAGCAGUGGGGAAUCUUGCACAAUGGGGGCAACCCUGAUGCAGCGACGCCGCGUGAGCGAUGAAGGUUUUCGAAUCGUAAAGCUCUGUCCUAUGGGAAGAUAAUGACGGUACCAUAGGAGGAAGCCCCGGCUAACUACGUGCCAGCAGCCGCGGUAAUACGUAGGGGGCGAGCGUUGUCCGGAAUUACUGGGCGUAAAGGGUUCGCAGGCGGCAUGGCAAGUCCGAUGUAAAAGGCGAAGGCUCAACCUUCGUAAGCAUCGGAAACUGUCAAGCUUGAGUGAAGGAGAGGCAAGUGGAAUUCCUAGUGUAGCGGUGGAAUGCGUAGAUAUUAGGAGGAAUACCGGUGGCGAAGGCGACUUGCUGGACUUCAACUGACGCUGAGGAACGAAAGCGUGGGUAGCAAACAGG
rnacentral:rRNA from 1 species